UACGAGGGGUCCAAGCGUUGUUCGGAAUUAUUGGGCGUAAAGCGAGUGCGGGCGGCUUUUUAAGUCAGGAGUGAAAUCCCCGGGCUCAACCCGGGAACUGCGUCUGAGACUGGAAGGCUCGAAUCCGGGAGAGGGAUGUGGAAUUCCAGGUGUAGCGGUGAAAUGCGUAGAUAUCUGGAGGAACACCGGUGGCGAAGGCGGCAUCCUGGACCGAUAUUGACGCUGAGGCGCGAAAGCCAGGGGAGCAAACGGG
rnacentral:rRNA from 1 species